GGGAGGGGCGGGGCGGCCGGACUCGGACCCGAGCGCUCGUCUCCACCCCCGCCUGGAAGCGGCGAGGGCUGCGCGCCGGGAGAGGCUUGUCGGGGGCGCCUGGCGGAUGGACCGCGGCGGGAGCCACAGGCCGGAGCGGGGCCGACCAGCUACCUCCUGGCUCCCGGCAGGUGCUCCGACCCUUUUGUAUCUGCCAAGCCGUUUUUUAGUUGUGUGAAGACAGCUGCGUGGAACGAAGGGAGAAGGAGAUGGUGCCGUAGCCCAGAGGCUCAGGUGCUGGGAAUCUAGUUGGAAAACCCACUCACCUGGAGGGACCUCUGCCGCUAGUUCAGCCUUCAUACAAACUAGUCCCCCAGCUGCUGGGGACGGCUGGUCUGCACCUGCCUCCCACAGCCGGUUAAAAGUGGUUGUUUCUGUUUAAGAUAAAGGUAGGGCUCGGGAAUGAGGUGUAUAAAGGCAUGACAUGCUGAGUGAUGAAAUCCGAGCAAAGAAAUAAAUGCACAAGUGUGUCCCAAAACCUGGAACGCUCUGGGCUUACUUACCAAGGACGGCUGGCCGCAGAGCCUGAGUACAAGGAACUAAGGUACCCAGACCUGCUCCAGCCCAGACACCGAGGAGCAUCUGGCCACCGCUGCCUGGGGGAGCUUGUGCCAUAGCCCUGGUCUGAGCCAAGAGCAAGCCCAAACCACUGAUUUCCAGUCACUGCUUCUGAGGCUCAGGUGGAGAAACGGAGAAAAAUCCAAAGAUUAGCCUGCAUUUUCCUCUCCGAGUUCGAAUAAAGAUGUUUUGUUCCUCUGCUCUCAUAUAUACACACAUCUGCAGAGUACUGGAAUGGUUCCAUGUCAUUAAACCUUUAAUUACAUAGCUGUUUUCAAAAAUCAUAUUCAGAGUGAUUUUGUCAGGUGCUAAGUUGGCAGGUGGCCAAUGCAGAAGCUCAGCCCUCAGCCCUCCAGCAAAUGCCCUCUGCCGGCUCAG